CGCCGUAAAGGUUGGCAUGUGUUGACGCACGUAAGCGACCUCAUACUUGUACAAUUCGUCUGCUUUGUCUGUCGGCAGAUCUUGAAUUUUCUUUGGCAGUUU
rnacentral:rRNA from 1 species